UGAAAUUUGUUUUUCGAAUUUUUUUUAUUUUUUUUCAAAUUUCUUUUUGAAAAACGAAAAUUAUGUUAACCCUAAGGGUAUAAUUGUCUCUUACCCUUCAUUAAAAGUGAGAGUAAAAAUAGUUAGUGUAAACAUGAAAAGUGGUAUUAUGAAUGUGCUAUUUGUGGCAAUUUCCCUACUUAAAAAUAUAUGUAUUUAUUUUAAUAUUGUAUAUUCUAUUAUAUUUGGACACCAAACAAAACCAUGUUAUCUGAAUAACUAAUUAUAAUUUUUAAUAUAAGAUUUGUUGAUUAAUUUUCGGUAUACGAAUUUACAUUGACUUUAUUUUAUAAGUUAUUUCUUAUUCUUAUAGUAACAAUUUUACUAUAUUUUGUUAUUGAAUUUAAUAAGUUAUAUUUAAAUUUGUUAAAAUUUAUUUUUGCAUGCAUAUUAAACUUAUUUGCUGUUCGUACGGAUGGAAGAUGACCUAUCAAAGAAGGAUGUCGACAUGUAUGUCCGUCAAAAAUAUACUAUUUUAUUAAUUUAAGUAGUGGGUUUUGAUCCAAAAAAAGUUGUGGGUUAAUUUGUCUGUAAGUUUUUUUUUUUGGAGGGAUUUUUGCUUAGAGAAAAUUUCAUAAAAUACCCAACUAAAUUAUAUUAAUUUUUUUAAUAUCCAAACUUUUAUCUACCUAAUUUAAAACACUAACUAAUUAUUUUUCUCGUUUUAAUUCAUAAAUUUUUAAUAUUGCGCAAAUUCUAAUACCCAAGGUGUAUUUAUAUUAAUCAAAAUAUUUAAUAAAUUUCAUUUGAAAUUUAGGAAAACUCUAAAAAACCCUAUUUUUUAUUUUUUUAUUUUUUUUAUUUUUUUAUUUUUUUUAUUUUAAGGUUUAAAAAGAAAACUAACUAAAUUAUGGACAAGCUGAAAUUGUGAUAAAAGUUCUAAAUUUUAAAUAACAAAUGUAAUUUUUUUUUUGGAAAUAUAAAACAAAUUUAUUUAUUUUCUUUCAAUCUUAAGUUUUUAUAAAUUAUAAGUUUUUAUAACACAUCAUUUUACCUUUUUGAACAUACUUCUUAUUCAUUAAAUAUUUAAACCAUAUAUUUUAAUAAAAUAAUUAAUGGUCCACAAACAUUUUAAUAAUCAGUGACAUUGAAAGAAACGAAAAUAUUCACAUCAACAUAGAAAAAUAGAAGUUAUGCGCAAAUAAAUUUCUUCAUGCUUAAUAACUGACCCAAAAUUUGAUAUGGGAAGUGCUACCAUUGAGGAUAUGGAAGAGCUCGGGAAAAUGUGAGUUGGUGAAUUUUGUUCUCUGCUGAUCUCUUGUUUCUUCUUCUUAUGUAUUGGUUUAUUCUGUACAACUUGAAUCUGUGCAUCAGCUCUCCUUUGCGUAGUGUUCAUCACUGGCUCCAGACCAAUCUUAAGCAUCUCAUUCUAAACGCCAAGCAGGUCGUUUGGGAUGUUAUGUCGUGGAGAAGAAAUUUAAACUUGUCAUCAUCCUCGACCUGAGGUUUGAAUUUGUUAGGGUACACAAUAUUCCCUUGUACAAUAUUCCCUUGUGAAUCAGCGCCUCAUAGGAACCAUAUCUGUGUUUAAACUCCCAGAGCAUGCACAAUACAAACACAAUCAAGAACAAAUCGACAUAAACACACAACUGGAGAUCAUUUCUUGUCCGAGCAAUUGUUUGAUGCAUUGCUUGAACAGUCCGAAUCAUAUAUGUAGGAUCUAAAAGCAAGAAAAAAAUAAAUGAGUUUAAAAUAUCCAAAUAGUUUAAAAGUGGGGAGAAAGGGUCAUUGUUUUUUGUUACCUAUGUAUUUGAGAUUCAUCACCAUGCUAAUUUUCUUAAACUCACCUAUUUAUAGCUGCAGAUUCAGAGAACCAAAGAGAUUAGAGAUGUAUUGAAUGAUAAAUUCUGAAACGAUAAGAAGGAAUAUGUAACGACGCAAUCGAAUAUUAAUACAGAGAUUCUUCAGGACGAUUCAACUCAAUCAUUCGCUGCAGACAUAUUAGGGUUCGCGGAACUCAGUCUCAUCGGGCCGGAUACUUUUUAAAUCUCACAGCCCAAUAACACGUAAAAGAACUAAGUCCAGACGGUGAUGUUUAAUGAAACGCUGAGUUUAGUCCGUAUGGGACAGGUGUCGGAUCGAGAUCGAUCUACUUAUCUAGCUGUCUGCCUACGUGUCCUCAUGAGAAGAGAUUAAACUGUCUUUUAUAUAUAUAUAUACUAGGGCAGACGGGAUGAUAAUCUGAAAAUAAUAUAAAUUGUUAGAGUAAAUAUUUUUGAUUUUUGUCUAAUAUUUGUUUUAUUUUAAAAUUCUUUGUUUUAUAUUAAUAUGAUUCAUUAUUUUAUUGAUUGUUAUUCUUUAUUUAGUUUCAUUUUCAUUACAAUUAACUUAAUUUUUUCUUAGGAUUAAUAAGAUUGUUUAUUUGAAGUUUUAUUUUGUUUUUAUUUCAAUGGUGUACAAUUGUUGAUUUAUUCAUUCUCUUACAUUAUUUUAUAUUGUGUCUUUUAUUCGACUAUAUAAAUAUAUAUUUUAUUUUUAUGUAGUUGUGGAUGUAUGUUUAUAUUAUUAUUUUUGUCUAUUAGAGUGUUGAUCGUAGGAAGAGAAUGUUAUGGGUUGGUCCUUACAUUUGCGAUGUAUACUUUUUACCUAUCGAUAUGAUGGGUGUACAAUCUAUUUCUAUUUUUUUAAAUGUUUGUACACAUCUUAGAAUAAUUUAUAGUAUAAAAUAAGUCGUAUGUGGACGAAAUAUAAAAAUGUAAACAGAGUGAAGAGUCUCAAAAUAAUAGUGACUGUAGUUUUGCAACUGAUGUUGUUGCCGAAGCAUUAGAGUGGAUGAUAAGUAGUGGGAUGCUACCUAUGUGUCUUCGUGAACCUGUAUCCAAGACAUCCAAGCAUUAGAGCCGGUUGCUUUCACUGCAAGUAAUGAGAUGUUUCAAGUACCAGUGCCAAGUAAUGGGUGUUGUCAGUUCCUGUUAACGAAAUCAAGUUGAUAUGGAUAUAUUAUCUAAACGUGUAGAUCUAACCUGAGUUGUUUGAACAUCCUUGAAGAUUUCCUUGUAGACGAUAUUAAUAACUCUAUCUUCACAGUCUUUACCAGAAGUUUCAUCUAGACUAUAAUAUAAUUGAAUGCUGAUAAUAUAAUCUAGUGCUGAUCACAAUGCAAUUGUUACUAACCUACUGAAGGCGAUUGAGUUGUUUUUGAUGACCGAAUAAGCAUUCGUGCGCGUCGAGAUAAUCGUGAUCUGAUUCCUGUUUGAUCACCUGAUGAAUAAUAUACACAGGAAAUGUUAUAAAUCGUAACAACUCGUACCAAAUUCAUUGGUUUAAAUUUUAUGGACGUUGUGAGUACCAGAGCUCGAGACUCCCAUGUCUAUGCCGUCGUCUGCUAUGUCUCUGUUAGCACCCCAAACUUCCAUAAUCCAAAUCUAAAAAGCAUAGGAGAAACUCUCAAAAAUGUAUCUCUCCUUCUUAUCCAACUUCUUCCUAGUCUUCUCAAUCAAACUCAGCAGAAAGUCAUAGUGAAGACCCAAAUGGAACUUCCGAACCCUGUCAAAAACCAUCAGCAACUUGAUGUACAUAUGCGGGAUAUUCACCUUCUCAACUCUCGCCAUCACCACACCCAUUAUAACGCACAAGUAGAUCAACCUCAACCUAUCAAGCCGAUUCCAGUUGUGAACUUCUUGUAGAUGCACCUUCCAGAUUAACUUUUGCUUAUAUUCCCACCUCUCUUUAGUAGCUUACUCCAAAAACCCCUCCGUCAUCUUUCCAUUUAACUACAUCACUGCUACUUCCCGCGAAAUCAUGAGGUCAGUCACAGCAUGGAACUCUUGAAGUGAAAACCGGAGAGGCGUCCUCGCAAAAAAAAAAACCACUUCUCAUGAAUGUUCGAGGUAAUCCGCUCCUUACACAAGAAGCUAUGCACCAGUUUCCCCAAAAAUUGAAGGACAUUUGACUGAAUAGCCAUGAUAUGUGUGAAACAUGAUCUCUCUUGUAAACAAACAUACAAAGAGAAAUCCGAAUGAAGAACACAAACACAUAGACACAUGCAAAAAAGAACCGGAUUGAGGAACAUGCAAAGAAUAAAGAGACAGCUUAGACAUAAUACAUAAUCAUAUAGGAUCCAAACAAAUCAAUCGAAGAGGUGGAGAGGCUGAGAGGCUGAGAGGCUGAGAGAAGCUCUAAAAUAGCCUUGUGUUCGUUGUGAGAGAGAGAGAGAGAGAGAGAGAGAGAGAGAGAGAGAGAGAGAGAGAGAGAGAGAGAGAGAGAGAGAGAGAGAGAGAGAACCAAACACAAUUAGGGUUACAUGCAAUUUUGGGGAUUUUUGUUCCCUUUUUGUUUUGAAUUUUUUUUUAUUUCUUUCGCCUUUCUAAUACAUUCUUUUAUUUUAUUUUUCAUUAAACCUUUUAAAUUCAAUUCAAAUUUUAAAUUUUAUUUAAUUUGAUUAAUGAAGAGUUAAUUUUUGGCACUAUGACAAAAAUUAUACUAUAGCGACAAUGUAAAAGUGGUACUAUAUACCAAGGAACAAAGAUGGCAAAAAACAAUUUCCAAUAACAUGAGAAGUGCAAAGACUUGGAAGGAGAUAACUUCGACGAUCAUAAGAACAAUCGAUCGAUGAAAGACUUGCAUCAUCGAUCGACGACGAAGCCACCCGCGAGUUAAUGAAAAAAUUAGAAGAUUGCAAGUUUCACAAAGUUCCAAUAUUUACAUUUUAAGUCCAUGGCCAGCUGUUAGGCUAUUUAUUAGAGUUUUGUAUUAUUUUAGGGGCAGACUUGCCUAGAGACUUUUUAGACCUAAUUUGGAGAGAAGCAAGAAGCCACCAUUGAAGAGAGAAAGCUUAGAAUUGAAGAGAUAUAUCUGAACUACAAAACAGAGAAGAUCUUGAACUCUCUUGCUUUCAUAUACUCUAUUGCUUACUCUUUAUUAUUCAUUUAUUUAAAUAUUAUUCAGACCAUCAUAACCAUGUGCUUUAUGAAUAUGGCUGAGUAGUGUUAGGUUUAGGGUUCUCAAUAGGUUAAUAAAUGUAUUACUGACUUAAACUAUUGCUAGGGUGUUUAAAAGAAUAGUUAUUUCAUCUAGUUUCUCUUAAGGCUAAGUUUAGGAUUGAUCACCCUUCAAACUUAGAUUUUAGGAUAAAUUAAAAACAAGCCAUCGCUUGACUCAAUACCUGAAAAUAACUAGCAUGAUCUAACUGACUAGAUACAUACGAGAGUUGGUCUAGUAAGUUAGAGAAUAUAAAUCAAACAUAUCCGUAAAGCUUUCUGGAAGAAGCAUCGAUCGACGCAACGAUAGUUCUGUCAAUCGAUAUUCUUUACGAAUCAUCUAUCUACACUUUCUCGCGAUUAACAUACGAGAGUUGAAAUCCAAGAUCCAGAUUAGAUAAUCUAUAUGAUUAUAUCUGAGUUUGAAUUCAAGAACAAUUAAUAUCAAUAAACUCCUAAAACCCCAAAUUAAGUUAUUUACUUAUAAUACCUGAGAAUAUACAUGAAUCUAGUUAUUCACCCAACUGUUAACAACCUCAAAUCAAACCAAUCGAGCAAUUGCCUUGCUCACCAAUUUAUUUACUGCUUUAAAACCUAUUAACCUAUUAAUCUAGACUUAUUUCAAAGACUAUAAAUCUAUUGUGUAAUCUUAAAGUCUCUGUGGAUUCGAUCCCUAAGUACUACAUCUGAACCUCUUAUUUGAGAGAAUAAUUCACUCCUUAAGAUAAUUUGAGUGAUAUCACUAUCUCAAGCAGCUCUCACAAUACUGAACUCAUUGGGAAGUUGACAAUAAAGCUAGGUAAAUCCUACGCUAAUGAUGAAUACAAUUGGAGACCGAGGAGCAUGAUUCUAUGGCUCCAGAAUUGAGAUCGAAAUACAAUCUAUUUCCAUGCUAUUAUAAGAGGAAGGCAGCUGUUAAUAAAUUCUCAGUUAUAGAGAAUUAAGUUCAUUGCGCUUCACGAAGAAGGACAAACAACAUACACAAUUGUAGGUGGUUGGCACUAUAUUAAGACGUUAAUUUCUACGGCUAUGAAUAACUAGCUUGCAAGCCCAGUCAUAAGAUCCAAUGAGCAGUCUUUGCUUUACAUUGGGACAAAUCCCCAGGCCGUAUUAGGCAAUAAAAAUUUGUUGGCCCUGUUGGGUAUGUAUCAUAUCCUCCCACAAGGCCCAUAGAAUAGCUGAUCUGGCUGAUAACCACUGAUCAGAGAUUCGGCUCGUCGGCUUAUGGACCAUCUCGACUCAAGACUGCUUUUAGCCGAUGGAAUGAGCGAUUAAAAGCAGUCGACCUGACGGCUUAAUACAAUGGUCCGAUCACUCGGCUCAACGAGUUAAAAGCCCAUCGAAGAAGGGCGAAUUACGUCACUGAAGGACGACUGGUCGACUAUAUAAAGGCAUGUAGGGGCAACGAAAAGAGGAUCCAAAAUCAACCACAUAUACUUUCGGCGGCUAGAACUAGGCUUUCAUUUCUCUCUCUCGCCGGCUUGUAUUUCCCGGCGAAUUAGCUUUCGCCGAUUUGCUUUCUACCACACAUUCCCUUAUUUUUAAACCGGCUAAACGCCCUUUGAAACGUCUUUGUUUUCUAAUAAAACGUCUUUGUUUCGACCACCGACGAGUUCUCAUCUUUUUUACUAGUUUCCGACCAAACUCGGUUCAAACAGGUUCCUUAGAGCAUGAGCAAUGGUAGUAUCUACCAUAGUCUAUAGUACUAAUAUAAUAAUAAAUGAAAUAAAAGUAAGAAAAAGCAAGAAUCGAUUGUUGCUGAAGGUAUUUCAAUGAAAACUUGAGAAACUAACUGUCACGUGUUAUUCUGUAAGUGGAAGAGCUAGUUUUAAAGUAAUUUUAAUUAUUACAUGACUAAUGAUGCUCUUAGUCUGAUAAUGUUCAGAAACUUAUAAUUCAGAAACCAUGACUAAUGAUGAUCUUAGUCUUAUAAAAAGAAAUUUAAAAUUUAAAAGCAAUAUUGUCAAACUAUAUUGAAAAAAAAACAUGUAUAAACUAUUUUUCAAAUACAAUUAUAUGUCAUUCUAUUUUAAUAAUUUUUUUGAUGACAUUCAUAAUUAAUUUAAUAUUUUACAAUUAUUCUAUAUAAAUAUGAAAAAUUUUGUUUCGAAAUGAAAAUCAAAAUUAAAAAUUUUCAUACCAUAUAUAUAUAUUUCAUGCAUAUACUUUUAAAAGAAUUAAUAUCUCACAAGUUUUUCAUUUCUAUGUUGGUAAAAUAUUUUCUAAAUACUUCAUAGAGAUAUUAUUAUCAGUAUUAGAAUGAAUAAUUAUUAUUAUUUUCGGCAUCUAAUAAUAAUAUUGCAUACUACUUACUUUUUUUUAUAAUAGUACUCCAUCCUUAAAUAUUGAUGUUUUAAAUAUUGAUGUUUUAGCAUUUUCACACAUACUAAUAAAAAGAUUUAAGUCCCAGGUCUUAGGUUAUAAUCACAAACAAUAUAAUUUCUUACAUAUUAUAGGAUGCAAAGUUAUCAGACGUUUCAGAGUACUGCAGACAGAACUCUUCGUUGUGGUCGUUUGCUGUGGAGAGAUUAUGUCCAUCGAGGAUGUCGUACAUGUAGAACCAUCCGUUGAUGUAAGUGUUUCGAGGAGUGCUUCAUCGUGGAAACAUUAUGCAUGGAAUUGUUCAUCAAUAUCACAUUUGUUGAAGACAGUUUAUCAUCAAAUGUAAUAGAAGUAGAUAUUUUAUGAUGAUGUAAUUGGUUAUUUAUCAUGUGUUAAAACAAAAAUUAAAUAUACAUUUCUUUCUAUUGAUUUUUAAUUUUCUGAAAGUUUUAUAUGUUUCUCAAUAAAAUUAUAUCACUCAUAUUUUGAAUUUUAAUUAAAGUUUAACUUUAAAAUAUAUUAAAUUAAGUCAAAACAACAAUCUUUGAAA